rnacentral:ncRNA from 1 species
UAUUGAAAAGGCAAACUAUUCGUAAGAGUAGGGCGCAAAGCUAGAGGGUCCUAAAGCGGAGUCGAAGGAUAGCCAGCUGCCAAUU